rnacentral:rRNA from 1 species
AGCGAACGCUGGCGGCAAGCUUAACACAUGCAAGUCGAACGGGCACUUCGGUGUCAGUGGCAGACGGGUGAGUAACACGUGGGAACGUACCUCUUGGUUCGGAACAACACAGGGAAACUUGUGCUAAUACCGGAUAAGCCCUUACGGGGAAAGAUUUAUCGCCGAGAGAUCGGCCCGCGUCUGAUUAGCUAGUUGGUAGGGUAACGGCCUACCAAGGCGACGAUCAGUAGCUGGUCUGAGAGGAUGAUCAGCCACAUUGGGACUGAGACACGGCCCAAACUCCUACGGGAGGCAGCAGUGGGGAAUAUUGGACAAUGGGGGCAACCCUGAUCCAGCCAUGCCGCGUGAGUGAUGAAGGCCCUAGGGUUGUAAAGCUCUUUUGUGCGGGAAGAUAAUGACGGUACCGCAAGAAUAAGCCCCGGCUAACUUCGUGCCAGCAGCCGCCGUAA